UACAGAGGUCUCAAGCGUUUGUUCGGAUUCAUUGGGCGUAAAGGGUGCGUAGGCGGCGCGGUAAGUCGGGUGUGAAAUCUCGGAGCUUAACUCCGAAACUGCAUUCGAUACUGCCGUGCUUUGAGGACUGGAGAGGAGACUGGAAUUUACGGUGUAGCGGUGAAAUGCGUAGAUAUCGUAAGGAAGACCAGUGGCGAAGGCGGGUCUCUGGACAGUUCCUGACGCUGAGGCACGAAGGUCAGGGGAGCAAACGGG
rnacentral:rRNA from 1 species